AUCAACUCUGAUGAGUCCCAAAUAGGACGAAACGCGCGUACUGGAU
rfam:Schistosoma curassoni strain Dakar, Senegal genome assembly, scaffold: SCTD_scaffold0004476